AUUGAACGCUGGCGGCAGGCCUAACACAUGCAAGUCGAACGAGUGGCGGACGGGUGUGUAAUGUCUGGGAAAAUGCCCGAUGGAGGGGGAUAACUACUGGAAACGGUAGCUAAUACAGCAUAACAUCGGAGGUGCCCAGAUGGGAUUAGAUUGUAGGUGAGGUAAUGGCUCCGCUAGGCGACGAUCCCUAGCUGGGCUGAGAGGAUGACCAGCCACCCUGGAACUGAGACACGGUCCAGACUCCUACGGGAGGCAGCAGUGGGGAAUAUUGCACAAUGGGCGCAAGCCUGAUGCAGCCAUGCCGCGUGUAUGAAGAAGGCCUUCGGGUUGUAAAGUACUUUCAGCGGGGAGGCGUUACCCGCAGAAGAAGCACCGGCUAACUCCGUGCCAGCCGCCGCGGUAAUAC
rnacentral:rRNA from 1 species